rnacentral:rRNA from 1 species
GUGAGGAAUUUUCCGCAAUGGGCGAAAGCCUGACGGAGCAAUGCCGCGUGAAGGAUGAAGGCCUAUGGGUUGUAAACUUCUUUUCUCAGAAAAGAAUUAUGACGGUAUCUGAGGAAUAAGCAUCGGCUAACUCUGUGCCAGCAGCCGCGGUAAGACAGAGGAUGCAAGCGUUAUCCGGAAUGAUUGGGCGUAAAGCGUCUGUAGGUUGUUUAAAAAGUAUUCUGUCAAAGAUUAGGGCUUAACCCUAGAUAGGCAGAAUAAACUUUUAAGCUAGAGUUUGGUAGAGGAAGAGGGAAUUCCCGGUGGAGCGGUGAAAUGCGAAGAUAUCGGGAGGAACACCAAAGGCGAAGGCACUCUGCUGGGCCAAUACUAACACUGAGAGACGAAAGCGAGGGGAGCAAAUGGGAUUAGAUACCCCGGUAGUCC